GAUGAACGCUGGCGGCGUGCUUAACACAUGCAAGUCGAACGAAGCACCUUGAUUCGAUUCUUCGGAUGAAGAUCUUGGUGACUGAGUGGCGGACGGGUGAGUAACGCGUGGGUAACCUGCCUCAUACAGGGGGAUAACAGUUAGAAAUGACUGCUAAUACCGCAUAAGACCACAGCACCGCAUGGUGCAGGGGUAAAAACUCCGGUGGUAUGAGAUGGACCCGCGUCUGAUUAGGUAGUUGGUGGGGUAACGGCCUACCAAGCCGACGAUCAGUAGCCGACCUGGGAGGGUGACCGGCCACAUUGGGACUGAGACACGGCCCAAACUCCUACGGGAGGCAGCAGUGGGGAAUAUUGCACAAUGGGGGAAACCCUGAUGCAGCGACGCCGCGUGAGCGAUGAAGUAUUUCGGUAUGUAAAGCUCUAUCAGCAGGGAAGAAAAUGACGGUACCUGACUAAGAAGCACCGGCUAAAUACGUG
rnacentral:rRNA from 1 species